rnacentral:rRNA from 1 species
CCUACGGGAGGCAGCAGUGGGGAAUAUUGCACAAUGGGGGAAACCCUGAUGCAGCGACGCCGCGUGAGUGAAGAAGUCUUUCGGUAUGUAAAGCUCUAUCAGCAGGGAAGAAAAUGACGGUACCUGAUUAAUAAGCCCCGGCUAACUACGUGCCAGCAGCCGCGGUCAUACGUAGGGGGCAAGCGUUAUCCGGAUUUACUGGGUGUAAAGGGAGCGUAGACGGCAGCACAAGUUUGGAGUAAAAUGCCGGGGCUUAACCCCGGAACUGCUUUGGAAACUGUGCUGCUGGAGUGCGGGAGAGGUAAGUGGAAUUCCUAGUGUAGGGGUGAAAUGCGUAGAUAUUAGGAGGAACACCAGUGGCGAAGGCAGCUUACUGGACUGUAACUGACGUUGAGGCUCGAAAGCGUGGGGAGCAAACAGGAUUAGAUACCCUAGUAGUC